ACCAAGAACCAGGUGGAACGUGGUUUUCUGAUAUUGUUGACAAUCCUUGGCCAAGUUUCAAACAAACCACAAGCUUCCCUCAUCUUACGUGGUAGUUGCACUUCCUGGAAAAGUCAGAACCUAUGAAAACCAUCUAAUAAGACUGUGUUUGCCUAAGGAGAGUUAGGUUCUAGGCUCAGAUCAUUCUUUUUUUUUUUUUUUUAUUUUUAAUUAUUAGUUAAUUAGUUAAUUAAUUUUUUGGCUGCGUUGGGUCUUUGUUGCUGCACGCAGGCUUUCUCUAGUUGCGGUGAGCAGGGGCUACUCUUCGUUGCGGUGCGCAGGCUUCUCAUUGCAGUGGCUUCUCUUGUUGCAGAGCACGGGCUCUAGGCACAUGGGCUUCAGUAGUUGUGGCACGCAGGCUCAGUAGUUGUGGCUCAUGGGCCCUAGAGCGCAGGCUCAGUAGUUGUGGCACACGGGCUUAGUUGCUCCGUGGCAUGUGGGAAUCUUCCCGGACCAGGGCUCGAACCUGUUUCCCCUGCAUUGGCAGGCGGAUUCUUAACCACUGCGCCACCAGGGAAGUCCCUCAGAUCUUUCUUAACCAGGUUUUUCCAAGUAAGGCUAAAAUUUCGUUAGUUUGCACUAGUAUGGAUGGGCUGGUUGUUAAAGUAUUGAAAUACUUCUGGCUGGUGAAUAGUAUGAGUGAGUGAGAAAGUGUAAAAUUCAAUAAUACAUAUUGCGAUAAAUUGUUCAAGUUAGUUGUUGUGAUGGGUUUUCUGUCAUCCCAUUACUUAGUUGGUAAUAAACAUAUUGAAUAGACAAAACUAUUCGACAAUAUUUUAAGGGCUAGGAAAGUUUCAGAUGUAAUUGCUGUUAGUUCAGGAACAGCAAAGAGAGGAGAAAAACACCAAGACACCGCAGUUGCUGCUGAGAGAAAUUCUUUAUCUAUUGAGAUCUCAAGUCCUAAGGAUUCUCAAUUUAAUGGGAAGUUGCUAAAAGCAUUUGAUGCGGUUCCCUUAUCAAACCACAGCUAAGACAAGGUUAUUUUAAUUUAAAUAUACAUAUGUACAUAUAUAACAUGUUAUUUUAUGUAUAUACAGCGGUGCCAAUCAAGAAAUCACACCAACAAUUUCUAAAUGAAACAAAACCAUUACAAUGAUUUACGAGUGAUUUGAGCUUCAACUUACGUUCUUGGCAACACCUUAAAGAAAUAUGUAUAUAUAGAUAGCUAAUAUUGAUUAUUUUGAGAAAAAAUAUUUUAAGAUGUGACGCGGAUAUUGAUUUAUGUAUUUAUAUUACCAUGCCAGCUGCAAAAUAUUUUGAACAUCACCGCCUUUCAUGAAUGCCCAAUGGGACAUUUUAAAAUAAAUAGUAUGUGACAAGGGACCCU
rnacentral:lncRNA from 1 species